rnacentral:hammerhead_ribozyme from 1 species
AUCUAGCUGACACGUCCCAGAUAUGACGAAACGCGCGUCAAACUGGAU